UAACACUUUGCAGUGCUUUAGAAAAUGAAU
rnacentral:piRNA from 1 species